GGUGCCAGAAGGCAGUCUUAUUCUUAAUAUGCAUUUUAUUAUAAAUAAAGUUUAUAUAUAUACAUUUAUUUUAAAUAAAGUUUCAGUGUGACAAAAGAAGUAGCACUGGAAUAUAAAAUUUUCUUUUUAAUUCUCAGCAAGGCAAGUUACUUCUAUAGAAGGGUGCACCCUUACAGAUGAAGCAAUGGUAUACAAUAAUAGAGAAGAGGCAGUGAAGCGGCAACAUAUUUCUGAGUUGAAAUUACUUGCCUCCGCUGUGAGAGAAACCCCAGCCACAUCUCCAGCACACAAGAACUUCAGAAUGCCUAAACCGCAGCAGCCAGGUGUUCCUCCAGGGCCUCCUCCCCCAGGAUCUUGCUUCAAGUGCCAGAAAUCUGGCCACUAGGCCAAGGAAUGCCUGCAGCCCAUGAUUCUUCCUAAGUCGUGUCCCAUCUGGGCGGGACGCCACUGGAAAUUGGAUGGUCCAACUUGUCUGGCAGCCACUCCCAGAGCCCCUGGAACUCUGGCCCAAGGCUCUCUGAUUGACUCCUUCCCAGAUCUUCUUGGCUUAGCAGCUGAAGACUGAUGCAGCCCAAUUGCCUUGGAAGCACCCUGGACCACUAUAGAUGCUUCAGUGGAGGAAGACAGGAAUGUCAGACUUCUGAGCCCAAGCUAAGCUGUCAUAACCCCGUAUCCUGCACCUAUAUAUCCAGAUGGCCUGAAGCAACUGAAGAACCAAAAAAGAAGGGAAAUAAUCAGUUCUUGCCUUAACUAAUGACAUUCCACCAUUGUGAUUUGUUCCUGCCACAACCUAACUGAUCAAUUGACCUUGUGACAUUCCCUCUCCUGGACAGUGAAUCUCAGGAGCUCCCCACUAAGCACCUUGUUGUCCCCACCCCUGCCAGCAAGAGAAAACCCCCUUUAAUGAUAAUUUUCCACUACCUACCCAAAUCCAAUAAAACUGCCCCACCCCUAUCUCCCUUUGCUGACUCCUUUUUUGGACUCAGUCCACCUGCACCCAGGCUAUUAAAAAGCUUUAUUGCUAAUGCAAAGCCUGUUUGAUAUUCUCUUCACACAGACACAAGUAACAGAGAGGGGGUCAUAUCUAGCCUUCCUUGCUCCCCAGGGUACUCCUGCAGAAGAGGCUGCAUCUCUGCCCAUUGAGCACCCACCAGCAUGGGCUGCAAGUGGAAGCUUCUCCCACUUCUUCAGUGGCCGCAACCCCACCAAAGGUGAGGAUGUGCUGGAGGAGGGAGCUUUUUGCACUUCUCUGUUGCUCUGGCCCUCACUGAGGAUGAGCACUCACAGAAUAAGAGCCUACCCACUGGCUCUUACUCUUAAGCGCUAUCUACUGGACUAAUUAAUGAAUUACACCACCAAACAAAAGUGUAACACUGCAAUAAGCAACAUCUGAAAAAGCCACCAAAUGGACCUAUCUGCAACUGAGGAACCCAUACAGAGACUUCGCCCUCUGAAAACAUCCAGAAAUGAAGACAACUGAUCAUACGCAACAUAAAUCACACUCAUACUUUCAAGGAAAAGAAUAAUAAAAGAAAAGCCUCAUCCAAUGAUAUUCAAAAAAAUAAAAAAAGAAGCAGCAGAUCCUUCAGAUAAGAACCAGCACAAGAAUUCCAGCAAUACAAAAAGCCAGUGUUUCGUCACACCCAAAGGCGCCUAAGAAUCCUAACCAGAAUGAAAUGCCUGAAAUGACAGAUGUAGAAUUCAGAAUAUGGCUGACAAGAAAACUCAACAAGAUCUAACAGAAAGUUGAUAUCUAACAAAAAGAAAAUAGAAAAAAAUAAUCCAGGAUUUGAAAUAUGAUAUAGCUAUACUAAAACAAACAAACAAAACAGAAUUUCUGGAAUUGGAAAAUUUACUAUAGGAAUUUCAAAAUAAAAAUUGGAAGCCUUACCAACAGACUAGAUAAAGCAGAAGAAUUUCAAAGAUCAAAUACUGGUCCUUCAAAUCAACCCAGUGAAACAAAAAUAAAGAAAAAAAUAAUUUUAGAAAAUGAACAAAGCCUUUAGGAAGUAGAGGAUUAUGUAAAGUGACAAAAUCUACAACAUAUUGGCAUUCCUGAAGAGAAGAAGAGAAAGUAACUUGGAAAACAUGCUUGAGGAUGUAAUUCAGUAACAUUUCAUCAAGUCCUCGAAAGCAAACGCAACAAAAACAAAAGUUGACAAUUGGGAUCUAACUAAAGAACUUCUGCAGAGCAACAGAGACUAUCAACAGCAUAAACUGACAACCUACAGAAUGGGAGAAAAUACUUGCAAAUUCUGCCUCUGACAAAGGACUAAUAUCCAGAAGCUAUAGGGAACUUAAACCAAUCAACAACAAAAACCCAUUAAAAGUAGGCAAAGGACAUGAACAGACACUGCUCAAAAGAAGACAUACAAGUGGCCAAAAAGCAUGAAAAAACACUUAACGUCAUAAAUUAUCAGAGAGAGGCAAAUCAAAACCACAAUGAGAUGCUAUCUCACACCAGUGGGAAUGGCAUCACUAAAAAGUCAAAAAACAACAGACAUUAGUGAGGGUGCAAAGAAAAGGGAACAUUUAUACACUGUUGGUGGGAAUGCUAAUUAGUUUAGUCCCUGUGGAAAGUAGGAGAUUUCUCAAAGAACCAAAAAUAGAAUUACCAUUCAACCCAGAAAUCCAAUUACUGGGUACAUACCAAAAGGAAAAUAAAUAAUUCUACCAAAAAGACAAAUGCUCUCACAUGUUUAUCACAGCACUGUUUCACAAUUCCAAAGACAUGGAAUCAACCUAGGUACCCAUCACUGGUGGACUGGGUAAAGAAAAUAUGGUACAUAUACACCAUGGAAUACUACACAGCCAUGAAAAAGAAUGAAAUAAUGUCAUUUGCAGCAACAUAGAUGCAGCUGGAGGGCAUUAUCCUAAGUGAAUUAAUGCAAAACAGAAAAUCAAACACUGCAUUUUCUCCCUUGGAUGAGAUUUGCAUAUUUGGCCAUCAUUAAGCAAGCUCACUAACAACCUAGGGAAAGUCAUUGCAAGCCAGUAUUCAAUGGGAGUACCAUGGUUGACAGUGUCAUGAUUAAAAAUGUAACCAUAAUUAAAUAGUACUAGAGAAAUGUAGAUGCAAGAAAAUCUACAUUAAGUAUACCUUCCAAAGAGCAAUAGCAUUGCAAAGUAAUAACAGUGUUGUACCAUUUCCUUGUGUUGAAGCAUAUGAAAUAUCCAGGCAUGGCAUAUUUGAAAUUAAACAUAAGUGGAAUAUAUUACAAUAAAGAAAACAAAGAGGUGGCUCCUGGACCUCAACAGAAAGAGAUGCUGUUGUGAAAUUAUGCAGACACUUCAUGUGCAUAGAUUACAAAAGAAAUAGUACAUAUGCACCUUUCCUCUACUCAUUAUCUAAUUUUUCAUAGAUAAAUAAAUCACUGUAUCACCCAUAAGCCCAUGAAUGGUAUAAUACAUUUUUGUUUUAGUCAGUCAAAAUUAAUUUAGCUGUAAUUAUGUUUAUCAUAUGUAUACGUUCCAAACUUUUAUGCUCUGCUUCCUCUUAAAUGCUUUGCCACAUAGAAAUUUAUUCUGCCAGAUACCCUAAAUAAUCUCUCUCAGGUUCAAAGUAACACAGAUCUCUAGGGCAAGGGCAAAAUGCUACCAGUCUCUUUGCAUAGCAAGAGUGACCUUUACUCCAGUUUCCAAUAAGUUAUUCAUUUCCAUCUGAGACCACCUCAGCCUGGACUUCAUUGUCCAUAUCACUAUCAGCAUUUUGAUCAGAGCUAUUCAACAAGUCUCUAGGAAGUUCCAAACAUUCCCACAUCUUCUUGUCUUCUGAGCCCUCCAAGUCUCUAGGAAGGUCCAAGCUUUCCCACAUUUUCCUGUCUUCUUCUGAAAGACAGAAGCCCUCCAAAUUGUUCCAACCUUUGUCUGUUAUCCAGUUCCAAAGUCGCUUCCACAUUUUGUGUAUCCUUACAGCAACACCCACUGUCUCCUAGUACCUGUUUACUGUAUUAGUCCAUUCUCAUGCUUCUAUAAAGAACUGCCUGAGACUGGGUAAUUUACAAAGGAAAGAGGUUUAAUUGACUAACAGCUCCACAGGGGUGGGGAGGCCUCAGUAAACUUACAAUCAUGGAGGAAAGGGAAGCAAACACAUCCUUCUUCAAAUAGCAGCAGGAAGGAGAAGUACCAAGCAAAGGGGAAAAAGCUCCAUAUAAAACCGUCAGAUUUCAUGAGAACUCACUCACUAUCAUGAGAACAGCAUGGGGGUCACUGCCCCCAUGAUUCAGUUACCUCCCACUGGGUCACUCCCAUGACAUGUUGGGAUUAUGGGAACUAAAAUUCAAGAUGAGAUUUGGGUGGGGACACCGCCAAAUCAUAUCAAUGUGCGAAUGGUGGAAAAGUAGAGGAACAAUUCAUGAAAAAGUCCAAGUUAUAUUCUGAAGAGGGAGUACUGUGUAUGCUUACAUUAGAAUAAGUAGUACAAACUCUAACUGAAUUUAAAUAUCUUGAUGUGGUCUGGAGCAGUUAGUGAAAGUCUCAGGAGACAGUAGAAGUCUCAAGAAAGGGUAUUAUAUAACAUUUAAAAAAUUAUGUUUCUGAAUAUCUACAAAGAUUAUUUUAUUAAUGGAAUUUGGCCUUCUGGGUAUCUUUGUUAUUCCUUAUGCUUCAUAAAUUCUCUAUCAUAUUUGAUAGUUUUGUUCAAUCCCACCACUAAAAGUUUAUCUCCUAGCUUUAGUAACGGUGUAUUAUUUUGUACUUCUCCUUCUUUGGCAUCUAUCAUCCUAGUUUUCAGAUCUAACCUGUAAGAGUUCUGUUUCUAUUUUGGUUUUCUUCUUUAUUCAUUUCUCGCUUCAGUAAUCUCAUCCUUUCUUUCUUUCUGAUGAUCAUCACUUCCAGGCAGAUGACUACUGUGUGUAUAUUUAUUUACUUAUUGUUUUGUUUGUGAUAUAAUUUGGAUCUGUGUCCCCACCCACAUCUCAUGUUUGAUUGUAAUUCUCAAUGUUGUAGGUGGGGGCUGGUAGGAGGUGAUUGGAUCAUGGGGGCAAACUUCUCAUGAUCAGUUUAGUACCAUACCUCUUGGUACUGUCCUCAUGAUAGUGAGUGAGUUCUCAUGAGAUCUGGUCAUUUAAAAAGUAUGUAGCUCCUCCUCCUCACUCUCUUGCUCCUGCUUUCACCAUGUGGUAUGCUUGCUCUUGCUUCGCCUUCCACCAUGAGUAAAAACUCCCUGAGGUUUCCCCAAGAAGAUGCUGGUGCCAUGAUUCCUGUACAGCCUCCACAGCUAAAAGCCAAUUAAACCUAUUUUCUUUAUAAAUUACCCAGUCAGAUUUUUUUAUAACUCUGAGAGAAUGGACUAACACAGUUUGUUGGGUAAUUUUUGUUGUUGUUUUUAAUUUUUUUCUUAAAAUUUUAUUUUUUUUAAAGUUCAAUAGUUUUAGGGACAAGAGUGGUUUUUGGUUACAUAGAUGAAUUGUAUAAGUGAGAGCAUGAGGUAUCUGGUUUUUGAUUCCUGAGUUACUUCACCUAAAAUAAUGACCUCCAGUUCCAUUCAAGUUGCUGCAGAUGACAUUAUUUCAUUCUUUUUUAUGGCUGAGUAGUAUCCCAU
rnacentral:lncRNA from 10 species